AGCUUAACUUGGGAAUUGCAUUCGAUACUGGUGAGCUAGAGUAUGGGAGAGGAUGGUAGAAUUCCAGGUGUAGCGGUGAAAUGCGUAGAGAUCUGGAGGAAUACCGAUGGCGAAGGCAGCCAUCUGGCCUAAUACUGACGCUGAGGUACGAAAGCAUGGGGAGCAAACAGGAUUAGAUACCCUGGUAGUCCAUGCCGUAAACGAUGUCUACUAGCCGUUGGGGCCUUUGAGGCUUUAGUGGCGCAGCUAACGCGAUAAGUAGACCGCCUGGGGAGUACGGUCGCAAGAC
rnacentral:rRNA from 1 species